rnacentral:rRNA from 1 species
UACGUAGGGUGCAAGCGUUGUCCGGAAUUAUUGGGCGUAAAGAGCUUGUAGGCGGUUUGUCGCGUCUGCUGUGAAAUUUCGGGGCUCAACCCCGAACUUGCAGUGGGUACGGGCAGACUAGAGUGUGGUAGGGGAGACUGGAAUUCCUGGUGUAGCGGUGAAAUGCGCAGAUAUCAGGAGGAACACCGAUGGCGAAGGCAGGUCUCUGGGCUGACACUGACGCUGAGGAGCGAAAGCGUGGGGAGCAAACAGG